GCAAGUCGAACGAGACCUUCGGGUCUAGUGGCGCACGGGUGCGUAACGCGUGGGAUCCUUCCCAAAGGUGCGGAUUAACUCAAGGAAACUUUAGCUAAUACCGCAUGAUGCCGAAAGGCCAAAGAUUUAUCGCCUUUGGAUGGGCCCGCGUCGGAUUAGCUUGUUGGUGGGGUAAUGGCCCACCAAGGCGACGAUCCGUAGCUGGUUUGAGAGGAUGAUC
rnacentral:rRNA from 1 species